UACGGGGGGGGCAAGCGUUGUUCGGAAUUACUGGGCGUAAAGGGCUCGUAGGCGGCCAACUAAGUCAGACGUGAAAUCCCUAGGCUCAACCUAGGAACUGCGUCUGAUACUGGAUGGCUUGAAUCCGGGAGAGGGAUGCAGAAUUCCAGGUGUAGCGGUGAAAUGCGUAGAUAUCUGGAGGAACACCGGUGGCGAAGGCGGGUCUCUGGGCCGAUACUGACGCUGAGGAGCGAAAGCGUGGGGAGCAAACAGG
rnacentral:rRNA from 1 species